CGGAGUGGACGCAUCACUGGUGUUCGGGUUGUCAUGCCAAUGGCACUGCCCGGUAGCUAAAUGCGGAAGAGAUAAGUGCUGAAAGCAUCUAAGCACGAAACUUGUCCCGAGAUGAGUUCUCCCUGACUCCUUGAGAGUCCUGAAGGAACGUUGAAGACGACGACGUUGAUAGGCCGGGUGUGUAAGCGCAGCGAUGCGUUGAGCUAACCGGUACUAAUGAACCGUGAGGCUU
rnacentral:rRNA from 1 species